UUAACUUCAGUCCGAAAUAUUCGAAGCAAUAUGUCAAGGUUAACUUCAGUCCGAAAUGUCUGAAGUUCGAACUGCACAAGCAAUAUGCCAAGGUUAACUUCAGUCUGAAAUGUCUGAAGUUCGAACUGCAUAAGCAAUAUGCCAAGGUUAACUUCAGGCAUACAGGUAUGAAGUUGUUGAAACUUCAAUUAUAUGCAAGCCUAAUCAAAAUGUCUCAAGUUCGAACUGCACAAGCAAUAUGCCGAGGUUAACUUCAAUCCGAAAUGUCUGAAGUUCGAAUUGCAUAAGCAAUAUGCCAAGGUUAACUUCAGUCAUAUAGGUAUGAAGUAGUUGAAACUUCAAUUAUAUGCAAGCCUAAUCAAAAUGUCUGAAGUUCAAACUGCACAAGCAAUAUGUCGAGGUUAACUUCAGUCCGAAAUGUCUCAAGUUUGAACUGCACAAGCAAUAUACUAAGGUUAACUUCAGACAUAUAGGUCUGACGUUGUUGAAACUUCAAUUAUAUGCAAGCCUAAUAUCUUAUCCGUAUGUCUGGAGUUGUUGAAACUUCAGACGCGAUGGACUGAAAUUUGCUUGCUAUUGCUGAACUUCAUACCCAUGGCAGUUUUCUUUCGAUCUCCAUGGUGAUGCAUGUAAUUCCUCCUUUUUCGCUGCUAAAUUUCUAUUAAUGGUAACCAGAGAUAUUAGAUUAACCAGAUUUUGGAUUAGCUUCUCUGUCUCACAAUCACACCAUAUGCAGACUAAUUCUUCUUCAUGGAAAAAGAAGACUAAUGAUUUUCUAAGAUGGAUAAUUUCUUUUGUGAGUUCUAUACAUUUUUGUCAUGAAAAGAUGAUCAGAUUUUCUCACAAAAUAGACCAAAUUGAUUAAUUGUAGUUGUGGUAGAGGUUUGCACAAUAACAAUUCGAUAUAAUGCUUAACAAAAUAUUGCCAAUCAACCUUAUCAAAACUCUCAAUCAAUUAUAGGGUAUAGGUUAUAGUUGUCUGGGGUUACAUAAAUGGUUUUAGUCUUCAAUAUCUCAGCUUGAUUAAAGUUGGUCUUUGUGUUUGCUGAAUUCAAGUUGAUUAAUUUCUCAGGUUGUGGAAAGUUUUAUGAAAAGGUGAAAGAAACUCUGUUAUAGUCCUCUUCCAGGAGGCAAUCAUAAUAUUUUCUAAAACUAAUUUUGGAAUAUCACCGCUAGAUCCUGUAAUUGGUUUGUUUAUCUAGACUAUGAAGUGAAAAUUUGUUAUUUUUUCUCCUGUAUUAAUAAUUGUGUGCUUGUACAUACUUUCUACUGCUGUUGAUAAUGUAGUAAACUUUCUCUCCGCCAAGUGGUAGUGCUAAACCUUCAUUUUAGUUGAGAAGAACAAUUAGACCUAAAUGUCUGAAGUUUGUACUGCUACAAGUGAACGUCAGGCAUCGACUCUGAAGUUUGCACUGCUACAAGCUGGAUACAGAGAUAAUUUUGUUUUGAAGAUUUUGUAAGCUGAUUUCUUACCAACUGGAUGUUCUUGGACAUUCACCUGGUGCUUGAGCAGGUCAUAUUUCUGUUAUUUCUUGGUUAGAUGCAAGUAACAGAUGCUGUAGUCUUUCAGUAAAUAGGUUCUUUGCUUUAGCAUAAGGUGAAAAUAUUGGCAUUUAGCCGUAAUAGAGUUCGGGUGCGUAGAUCUGAGGCUAUCUUUAUUUUUUUCUGAAGUUUGUUUGUAUAUUGCAUAACUAGAAAUCAUGUACUAGAUUCUUGUUUUGAUUUUGAUUUUCUGCUUAAUAAUUCUGUCCUUAAGAAAAUCAGAUACAUGAGAGUUUAUUAUAGAGCUCCUAUUGUAUGUUACAUUACAAUGACAUUUGGUCUUUA